rnacentral:rRNA from 1 species
AGAGUUUGAUCCUGGCUCAGGACGAACGCUGGCGGCGUGCCUAACACAUGCAAGUCGGGCGGAGUCAGUAGCAAUACUGACUUAGCGGCGGACGGGUGAGUAACGCGUGGGCAACCUGCCCUACAGAGGGGGAUAACAGUGCGAAAGUACUGCUAAUACCGCAUAACAUUAUCGGGUCACAUGACCUGAUAAUCAAAGGAGAAAUCCGCUGAAGGAUGGGCCCGCGUCUGAUUAGCUAGUUGGUAAGGUAAAGGCUUACCAAGGCGACGAUCAGUAGCCGAUCUGAGAGGAUGACCGGCCACACUGGAACUGAGACACGGUCCAGACUCCUACGGGAGGCAGCAGUGGGGAAUAUUGCACAAUGGGGGAAACCCUGAUGCAGCAACGCCGCGUGAAGGAAGAAGGUCUUCGGAUUGUAAACUUCUUUGAUGAGGGACGAAAAAAAUGACGGUACCUCAAAAACAAGCCACGGCUAACUACGUGCCAGCAGCCGCGGUAAUACGUAGGUGGCGAGCGUUGUCCGGAAUUAUUGGGCGUAAAGGGCGCGUAGGCGGUUACUUAAGUCAGAUGUGAAAUCCCGAGGCUUAACUUCGGGCGUGCAUUUGAAACUGGGUGGCUAGAGUGCAGGAGAGGUAAGUGGAAUUCCUAGUGUAGCGGUGAAAUGCGUAGAUAUUAGGAGGAACACCAGUGGCGAAGGCGACUUACUGGACUGUAACUGACGCUGAGGCGCGAAAGCGUGGGGAGCAAACAGGAUUAGAUACCCUGGUAGUCCACGCUGUAAACGAUGGAUACUAGGUGUG